UGGCAAUCCUACUCAAAGCAGCAGUGGA
rnacentral:piRNA from 1 species